rnacentral:lncRNA from 1 species
UGAAUUAACGCCACGUCAAUUUAUACAAAAUAAAUUUAUACAAGAGUUUGUGGCUAUAUCAUUAUUAUUUAUUUAAUCAUACUAAAGGUUAAUGUCGACAUACAAUAUUUUGGAAUUGUUAUAACUUACAAGUGAGAAUAAGUCAAUUAUAAUUUACAAAGAAGCAAAAGGGAUGUUUUAUUUCGCGGGCCCAUUUCGUAAUUGAUGGAUUUUUCUAAAGGUAAAAAGCUAGGGACAAAGUCAUUUUCGCACUAUAUUGAUUAUCACAAAUAUUUUAAUGGUAAUUGCCCGCUUGUUACGUGCAGGUUCAAACAAACGAUGCUUCUGGACUUGGCGGGAAUGUUGAAAAAAAAUACUUGGGCCUUCGUUCUCAAUCUAAGUAGAACUGAUGUAAGGCCCAAACCGUUUUAUUUUUAAUAAUUAGUAAAUUAUUAAUUAUUAAAAAUUCUCAUAAGUUAGAAAAUAGAACCAAAUUAUUGAUUAUGAAAUUAUCAACAUCAAACAGAUUCAGCAUGGGCAUGGCAUGUGACAUGUAUUUGGCUUGACGGUCGACGCUUACUUGCGCGCCAAUAUUAAUUUGCAACUCUGUCUUUUCAGGUUCAGCAAUAUUUAACUCCGGUUUAAUGCGAUCCUUUUGUGGGAAUUUUAAUUCGUCAUCGGUUAGUUUUCUUGAUUCCUUUUUUUAAUUAGCAUCUUAGUUUGAACUUUGAACUGUUUCCAAUCACAGACGAACAAGAAGAAGAAUAAUUAAAGGAAAGACUGUUUUUAACCAAUUUUGAUUGCAUGGUAUGUACUGAUUUUCCGCUGAAUAAAAUUUAAAAAAAAAAUUGUAAUUAGUCAUAAUUGGAUAAAAUCAUUUCAAUUAAUUAUUUAAAUGAUAACCAGUUUUUUUUUCUUUUUCAUAGGAAUGAUAGCCGGUUUUAAAUAUAGAUUUAGGACAAUAUUUUGUUAACAAUGUGAGGAAAUUUUCCUGUGAUUAGGGUUGGCAAUCUGAGUCAGGAUUCCUUUAUUUGAUUUGAAUUGAUUCAAUGUGAAUUAAAUGAGUUUGAGUUUAAAAAAAUUGAUUGGUUUAAUAAGUUGGUGAAUUCGAUUUGAU